GGUUGACCUUGAACUAGAUUCACAACCAAGGAUGAUGACCGGCUUCCAUCUCAAAUGUGCUUCAGUGAGUGUGGAUUCUUACUGAGAUCCAUAUGCAAAGAUGAGAGGAAGUAGGCACCGACCUGAGAGUUUAUGCACCGGAGUGUCUCCAGCUCUGCAUACGUGUGGGAGUUUGAGUGAAAGGGCAUUUGCACAGAUCUACACCAGGUCAGCCAGGACUACAAAGAGAAACCCUGCCUUGAAAGAACAAAGAACAACAAAAACAAAGACUUUGGACUCCAGGAAAUGAAGCCGUAAAAAACCUCACACUGGGAGUUGCACCCAGCUUUAAAUAAAUGACUCCUCAAGAACCUGGGAGCCCAUGCAAUAUUUAAAGUGUGCUUUGAACUGAGGAUCACCUGGACCAUAGAACACUG